rfam:Mesocricetus auratus contig029969, whole genome shotgun sequence.
GGAAGGGGGGAUCUGGCUGUGUUAUCUGUCACCUCACCAAUGGCUAGGAUUGAUUUGGCUGACCUGGCUGGCUAGACAGGCAUCCUCUUCCUCAUUGUUUCAAGUGUGUUCCUCCUGAAGCUGCAUGUACAACCUUCCCCAAAUAGAAGUGUACCAAUCUUGGGGUAAAAGAUGUAAGAGUACAUGUGUUUUCUGGCUAGAACCCCCAAAUAAGCUCUCAAGGUCCAGGGCAGAGGGAGGGCCCUCCAAACAGUGCCAUCACUGAAAAGGUUCAUGGU